rnacentral:rRNA from 1 species
GAUUUCUGACGAACCGGAGUGGCCCGUUUGCUUACUGUGAAUGAGUGCCGCUUUGAGUUUGUCAUCCUUCCAGAGAGCUGCGUCUACCGUUUACUCGGCCGGACGUAUGCGAUCUGGAUCGAUUACUUUGAAAAAAUUAGAGUGUUUAAAGCAGGCUUAUGCUGUGAAUACAUUAGCAUGGAAUAAUAAUUUAGGACUUUGGUUCUAUUUUGUUGGUUUCUAGGACUGAAGUAAUGAUUGAUAGGGAUAGUUGGGGGUGCUAGUAUUCCGCGGCCAGAGGUGAAAUUCUUGGAUUCGGGGAAGACUAACUACUGCGAAAGCAUU